rnacentral:rRNA from 1 species
AGAGUUUGAUCAUGGCUCAGGAUGAACGCUGGCGGCGUGCCUAAUACAUGCAAGUCGAACGAGGUGCUUUUGUAGCAAUACGAGAGUAUCCUAGUGGCGAACGGGUGAGUAACGCGUUGGUGACUACCCCAAAGUGUGGGAUAACAGUCCGAAAGGAUUGCUAAUACCGCAUGUGGUCUUCGGGUUUAGAAACUGAUGACUAAAGGAGCAAUUCGCUUUGGGAGGGACCUGCGUCCCAUCAGCUAGUUGGUGAGGUAAUGGCUCACCAAGGCUACGACGGGUAGGGGACCUGAGAGGGUGACCCCCCACAAUGGAACUGAAACACGGUCCAUACACCUACGGGUGGCAGCAGUAGGGAAUAUUGCACAAUGGGCGAAAGCCUGAUGCAGCAACGCCGCGUGUGCGAUGAAGGCCUUCGGGUCGUAAAGCACUUUUCUGGGAGAUGAGCAAGGACAGUAUCUCAGGAAUAAGUCUCGGCUAACUACGUG